rnacentral:tRNA from 1 species
AAAAUAUUAGGUUAAAUAAUUAAACCUUUGACCUUCAAAGUCAACAAUCAUUAUGAUAUUUUG